rnacentral:lncRNA from 1 species
UUUAAGUCCUAGCUAUAUACAAUUUACAUGAGUUUUUUACAUGCACUAGAGAAUGAUGGUUGUUUAAUUGUACCUACAGUGUAGUAGUAAUUGUCAGUGAUGUGGUUAAAAUGCACUUGCACAGAGAUUCAAAAUUGAGUCAUGAUUCCUUGUACUUGUAUCAUCAGUAGAAAAGGAGGUGUUGCAAGACAAUCUAUCAGUGAUAUAUAACUCUUAUCAAAGCUCUACUCAAAAUUUACCACAUGUAUCAUCAAUGACUUUAUGCAUAUUUGAGACAAAGCUGAAUUUAAUCUGCAUGGGACUUAAAAAUUAUAAUUUUUCCCCAAAAUUAUUCAAAUUCACUUAAUAGGUAACUUUCAUGCUUCUUCACACUAAUUUCUAUUUGGCUAGUUUACUUUUGUACUCGAAUCUUUUCAUAUUUUUUUAGCUUUUUUGUUUGAAUGUCUGCUUCUCUCUUUGUAUCACAAUGAGAUUACCCUUGAAUGAAAACUUAUAGCCAAGCAUGACCAGAUUUUACUCGAUGAUAUGCUUCUUUAAUGAUAAUUGAAAACUAAAAAGAUAACAACUUCUGAUCAGCAAUUCAGUACUAUAUUUCCAAAAGUCAAUGCACUAUCCAAAUAGACGGAACUGGAUCCUCUCCUGAGCUUAGGAUAGGGAUCCUCCUGAGCAGUCUAUCCGGGCCAUUCAAACUUGAUCCAACGAUUGUAAUUAUUAUAAUUUUUAGAGGGUCUCCUACUUGGAGUCAUUAGAUCAAAUUUCAACGGUCCAGAUGAACUGCUCAAGAGAAUCUCUAUCCUAAACUCAGGAGAUAAUCCGGUUCCUAAAUAGAUGACAACUUAUAUUCAGCAAACAGUACUAUCCAAAUAGUCAAUGCACUCAAUUAUAGCACACAGCUGUGGAAAUUAGGCUGCCCACUAGGAGCUGUCUACUAAAAGAAGAUAAGGACAUAGUUGUCCACUAAAAAAGGAAUGGAAAU